AACGCUGGCGGCGUGCCUAAUACAUGCAAGUCGAACGCACUUUCGUUAGAUUGAAGAAGCUUGCUUCUGAUUGAUAACAUUUGAGUGAGUGGCGGACGGGUGAGUAACACGUGGGUAACCUGCCCUAAAGUGGGGGAUAACAUUUGGAAACAGAUGCUAAUACCGCAUAAAACCUAGCACCGCAUGGUGCAAGGUUGAAAGAUGGUUUCGGCUAUCACUUUAGGAUGGACCCGCGGUGCAUUAGUUAGUUGGUGAGGUAAAGGCUCACCAAGACCGUGAUGCAUAGCCGACCUGAGAGGGUAAUCGGCCACACUGGGACUGAGACACGGCCCAGACUCCUACGGGAGGCAGCAGUAGGGAAUCUUCCACAAUGGACGAAAGUCUGAUGGAGCAACGCCGCGUGAGUGAAGAAGGUUUUCGGAUCGUAAAACUCUGUUGUUGGAGAAGAACGUAUUUGAUAGUAACUGAUCAGGUAGUGACGGUAUCCAACCAGAAAGCCACGGCUAACUACGUG
rnacentral:rRNA from 1 species